rnacentral:lncRNA from 1 species
UAAUAAGCAUGUGAACAUUGAUUUAAUUUUCUGAGAAUCCAUACGUUAUAUUCAUCUUGGUUAGUGUUUCAUAGUUUUAAAUUAUUGUGUUAUGGAAUAUGGUUUGUUUAGAGUUUUAACCCCGAAAACUUCAUAUUUCAGGGUAUAGGGUUUGAUUACGAAAGAUGAUUUCGAUGGGAUUUUCAUGGAAUAGGAUUUGAUUAUGAAGAUGAUUUUGAUGGGCUCAUCAUUCUUUCCGAUUUAUUUAAAAAGGCACGAGCUUACGCGGAUGUGGGCCUUAAUUGUUUCAAUGCAUUUUGAUGACGUUAUGGAUAUGUUUUAAUAACUGAAGAUUUCUGAUUGGUCAAAAUAUAUUGGCGUCAUUUAUUUUUUUUAAAAGGAAAAUAGGCAAUGGCAGAGAUUUGUAAAUAACUUGAAAAGGCAGGGGUAUAAUCCUAGUAGGUAUUCUGCUUUAAUAGUAUAGAUGGGAUUGGGCCAGAAAUAACCACUAGCUAUCUGUUAGUAUUAGCCACGAAAACUCAGAGGUCAUAUAACUUUCAAUGUUUUCUUGUUCGAUCGAAUCACUAAUAUCGAGGUUGGGCUCACAGUUUCUGUGGGCCAAUCAUGUUCACUUUUCAGAGUGUUUUGGUCACUAAUUUCAAGAUUGACCCUACAAUUUUCAUGGCUAACUGUAUCAGUGGCCCAUAAAACUGUUAAAUGUCCAUGAUUUCAUAUAGGCUUAUUAGUUUUUGAUUGACGCAAAACUUCAUAAUAUAAUUUUUUUGAAUUAUAAGGGAUAUCCUGAC